rnacentral:tRNA from 1 species
CAGGGAGACAACAAAAUGUUUAAUAUUAUUAUUUUGUCACCUUAGGUCGAUCGGUAUCUCACGUUCUUAAUUUAUUAAGAAUUUCAUUUCCUGAGUUUUUCUAGGUCACACCCAUUAUUUUUCCUGGGCCAUUAGCUCAGGUGGUUAGAGCGCACCCCUGAUAAGGGUGAGGUCCCUGGUUCAAGUCCAGGAUGGCCCAUAUCUCUAUGUUGGGGGUAUAGCUCAGNUGGUAGAGCGCCUGCUUUGCAAGCAGGAUGUCAGCGGUUCGAGUCCGCUUACCUCCACUGAUUACCACCUCUUCCAUAUCUAUAANAAAGGAAUUUUUUUGGGUUUUGAUCAAAUUCUGAACNAAUCUAUCUUCCUAAUGAAAUCAUUAAGAUGCUGGACUCAUUGAAUUAAUUUCAUUGUUUUCAGAGAACCUUGACAACUGCAUAGAUUAUUUUUAAAGACAAUUAUAAUCUUUAGUGAUGCANAUUUAUUAUUUGUGCUAACAACUAAUAACAAUUCUAUUAAUCUGAUGCUUCAAUUAUGAAGUUAGU